rnacentral:tRNA from 1 species
GGGGUUGUAGCUCAGUGGUAAAGCACUUGCCUAGCAUGUUUGAGGCCCUGGGUUCAAUCCCCAGCACCA